GGGUCAGUGAUGACAAACCAUGUCAUGAAGAGGUAUGAUGACAUAAAAGUUAUACACCAGAGGGUUUAAGCUGAGGCCC